CUGAGGAAAGUGGAGACUACAGGCCUAAAAAACAAGACUUUUGAUCUGCCUUAAGACCCAAAGGGACCAUUUACCAUUUGGUUUUAUCUGUUUAGGCUCGACAAAUACUUUGCAUGUUUAAAUUUGGUCACUUGGCACCUGCCGAAUCAAACUACCGAAGCAAAAAGCUGCAUCUGGAUACUUUAAAGGUUAACUCUGACGAGGGGUGGUCCUGAUGGAGGGGUGCGCAGAACACGUCCACACAUUGCCACCUACCUCCCCGGCUGGGCGCUCCAGAAGUUAGACCGAGCCCACGGCACGUCCCGGCACGGCCCAGCCCGGCGCAGGAGGGGAGGAGGGGGGAAGGCGCGACUUCCAGCCAGAGCCUUCACAACCCCGGGGUCAGUCGAAGGUGAGGAGCUGCUCUCUUCCACUGGGGGGGAGAGAGAGGCAAAGCGUGCGAAUCUGCCCGCAGAGCGAUGAGAGCUGCGCCGGCGUGCGCGUCGAGCUGUCAGCCCGGGACGGAGAGCGAGCGCGCCGCGACUGCCAGCCGGUCCUGUCUGAAGUAGCUCAGAGCAGAAGACGGGGAUUUCCUGACACUGAACUCC
rnacentral:lncRNA from 1 species